CCAAUAGCGUAUAUUAAAGUUGUUGCAGUUAAAAAGCUCGUAGUUGAACUUCGGGGUUCACCCAUUGGUCAGGCUUAAUUGUCUGCACUGGUGAGAUGAAUCUCUACCUUCUGAGGAACUUUCAUGCCAUUUAUUUGGUGUGAUGGGAAAUCAGGACUGUUACUUUGAAAAAAUUAGAGUGUUUAAAGCAGGCUAACGUCUGAAUACAUUAGCAUGGAAUAAUGAAAUAGGACGGACUGAUUCUAUUUCGUUGGUUUCUAGGAUCACCGUAAUGAUUAAUAGGGAUAGUUGGGGGCAUUAGUAUUCAAUUGUCAGAGGUGAAAUUCUUGGAUUUAUUGAAGACUAACUACUGCGAAAGCAUUUGCCAAGGAUGUUUUCAUUAAUCAAGAACGAAAGUUAGGGGAUCGAAGACGAUCAGAUACCGUCGUAGUCUUAACCAUAAACUAUGCCGACUAGGGAUCGGGCGAAGUUAAUUUUAUAAUGACGCGUCCGGCACCUUACG
rnacentral:rRNA from 1 species